rnacentral:tRNA from 1 species
AGCUGAUAGUCUUUUGAGGUCCAUGUUUCGGCCGUGGAGUUGGUAACUGAUCAUGUUACUAUCAGUAU